rnacentral:tRNA from 1 species
GCUCGUAUAGUUCAGUGGCAGAACCGGAGGCUCUAACCCUCUGUGAGCGCGGGUUCAAAUCCUGCUACGGGCA